rnacentral:other from 1 species
CCAGCCCUACUGUGCUCGUGUUCGAGCUGCUCGUGUUGUGAGCCAACACAACAUUCAAGGGAGCCGCUGCUCUGGGAGUGGCCCACAUGCCGCCUCGGUUGGCGGACGUGGAAAGCUUUCAGGCGGGCACCCACCUGCCGAGAGCAGGUUCUCAACAAGCAGCUAAGCGGCAUGGUGGGGUGUU